AGCGGCGGACGGGUGAGUAACACGUAGGCAACCUGCCCGUAAGACUGGGAUAACAUAGGGAAACUUAUGCUAAUACCGGAUAGAGUCUUCUCUCGCAUGAGGGAAGACGGAAAGGUGGCGCAAGCUAUCACUUACGGAUGGGCCUGCGGCGCAUUAGCUAGUUGGUGGGGUAAUGGCCUACCAAGGCGACGAUGCGUAGCCGACCUGAGAGGGUGACCGGCCACACUGGGACUGAAACACGGCCCAGACUCCUACGGGAGGCAGCAGUAGGGAAUUUUCCACAAUGGACGAAAGUCUGAUGGAGCAACGCCGCGUGAACGAUGAAGGUCUUCGGAUUGUAAAGUUCUGUUGUUAGGGACGAACAAGUACCGUUCGAAUAGGGCGGUACCUUGACGGUACCUGACGAGAAAGCCACGGCUAACUACGUGCCAGCAGCCGCGGUAAUACGUAGGUGGCAAGCGUUGUCCGGAUUUAUUGGGCGUAAAGCGCGCGCAGGCGGCUAUGUAAGUCUGGUGUUAAAGCCCGGAGCUCAACUCCGGUUCGCAUCGGAAACUGUGUAGCUUGAGUGCAGAAGAAGAAAGCGGUAUUCCACGUGUAGCGGUGAAAUGCGUAGAGAUGUGGAGGAACACCCAGUGGCGAAGCGGCUUUCUGGUCUGUAACUGACGCUGAAGCGCGAAAGCGUGGGGAGCAAACA
rnacentral:rRNA from 1 species